rnacentral:rRNA from 1 species
GAUGAACGCUGGCGGCGUGCCUAAUACAUGCAAGUAGAACGCUGAAGGAAGGAGCUUGCCCUUUCCGGAUGAGUUGCGAACGGGUGAGUAACGCGUAGGUAACCUGCCUGGUAGCGGGGGAUAACUAUUGGAAACGAUAGCUAAUACCGCAUAACAGUAGAUGUUGCAUGAUAUCUACUUAAAAGGUGCAAUUGCACCACUACCAGAUGGACCUGCGUUGUAUUAGCUAGUUGGUGAGGUAACGGCUCACCAAGGCGACGAUACAUAGCCGACCUGAGAGGGUGAUCGGCCACACUGGGACUGAGACACGGCCCAGACUCCUACGGGAGGCAGCAGUAGGGAAUCUUCGGCAAUGGACGGAAGUCUGACCGAGCAACGCCGCGUGAGUGAAGAAGGUUUUCGGAUCGUAAAGCUCUGUUGUAAGAGAAGAACGAGUGUGAGAGUGGAAAGUUCACACUGUGACGGUAUCUUACCAGAAAGGGACGGCUAACUACGUG